GACGAACGCUGGCGGCGUGCUUAACACAUGCAAGUCGAACGGAAAGGCCCCUUUGGGGGUACUCGAGUGGCGAACGGGUGCGUAACACGUGAGUAACCUUCCCUUUCCUUCGGUAUAACUUGAGGAAACUGGGGCUAAUACCGGAUAGGAAUCCUUGCUGCAUGGUGGGGGUUGGAAAGCUUCGGCGGCUUUGGAUGGACUCGCGGCCUAUCAGCGUGUUGGUGGGGUAGUGGCUUACCAAGGCUUUGACGGGUAGCCGGCCUGUGGGGGCGAGCGGCCACACUGGGACUGAGAUACGGCCCAGACUCCUACGGGAGGCAGCAGUGGGGAAUAUUGCACAAGGGGCGCCAGCCUGAUGCAGCAACGCCGCGGGCGGGAUGACGGUCUUCGGGUGGUAAAACGCUUUCAGCAGGGGCGAAGCUUGUGGUGACGGUACCUGCAGAAGAAGCACCGGCUAACUACGUG
rnacentral:rRNA from 1 species